CCCGUGAUAGAGUGGGGGCUGGCCUCACUAGCUGUCCCGGAACGGCUGCUCAUACGUCUGGCAUCACAGAGACCAGCCUGCCUUACUUUGUCUCGGUUCAUGGAAUCGUGUUGGCCAGAUAGACUGGGAACAAGUGAAGGAGUUGUGUCUUCUCCCUAAACAGAACAGCUUGUAGCUUUGUCAUAAUUGCUCUGUGCAACCAGCCACUCUACUAUCGCGAGUCGAAGUCACAAUGCGUGUUAUUUAAGGAUCCCAGCAGCAGGCACAUUCUGGAGUCAACCUGCGUGGAGAGCCCGGCCUCAGAAGGGGUAGGAGUGGAAAAGAAGGGAGUGUGCAUGAAGCGGAUUUGAGGCUGGAGUGGGCAGGCUACAUCAUCAAUCUGAUGUGGAUAAAAUGUAGAACAUUAAACACACGUAAGACCCCAGUUCCAGAAGUAGAAAGGGAGCUUAGAGUGAGAAUGGAGGACUAGAGCAGAUGCUUCGAAUCCCAGGACACAGGAUUGGGUAUCAUCCAUCUGAACAAAGACUUCAAGGAGGAAGGAAGCCACCUUGUCUACUACGGAGAGACACAUCCCUCUAAACAACGAGCAGCGGACAGCUUCCACCUCAAAGAUGGAAGCUGAAAAUCUCUGCCCAGUGUGCUGGGGACAUCACCAAAAUGUUUGGUUCUGCUGGGGCAGGAAAGUAGCACAAUGCUCAAGGAAAAGGUUAUCUGUUCCCUUUCCUGUAUGUACCAACUACAAACCUGAGGACAGACUUCAAGGGAAAUCUUGGAACAAUACCCACUUUCUAAAAAUACAGAGAGGAAGAGAGAAGAGCACUUUGAACUGAACUUGGAGAAUUUUGAGUGCAUAUCUGAGUGCCGAACAACCUCCAGUCACAUGAGGGUUAUCUGAAGCCCAGGAAUCCUGUUUGUACCCAGCACUCAUUUUUUCAAGUUGAAAAAUAAAAGAAAGCAGAAGU